GACGAACGCUUUCUUCUUUCUUAACACAUGCAAGUCGAACGGAAAGGCCCUGCUUUUGUGGGGUGCUCGAGUGGCGAACGGGUGAGUAACACGUGAGUAACCUGCCCUUGACUUUGGGAUAACUUCAGGAAACUGGGGCUAAUACCGGAUAGGAGCUCCUGCUGCAUGGUGGGGGUUGGAAAGUUUCGGCGGUUGGGGAUGGACUCGCGGCUUAUCAGCUUGUUGGUGGGGUAGUGGCUUACCAAGGCUUUUCCUUUUCGCCGGCCUGAGAGGGUGACCGGCAACAUUGGGACUGAGAUACGGCCCAGACUCCUACGGGAGGAAGCAGUGGGGAAUAUUGCACAAUGGGCGGAAGCCUGAUGCAGCAACGCCGCGUGCGGGAUGAAGGAAUUCGGGUUGUAAACCGCUUUCGCCUGUGACGAAGCGUGAGUGACGGUAAUGGGUAAAGAAGCAAAGGAUAAAUACGGG
rnacentral:rRNA from 1 species